UACGGAGGGUGCAAGCGUUAUCCGGAUUUACUGGGUUUAAAGGGUGCGCAGGCGGAUAUGUAAGUCAGUGGUGAAAUCUUUGGGCUUAACCCGAAAUUGCCAUUGAUACUAUAUAUCUUGAAUGCUGUGGAGGUAAGCGGAAUAUGUCAUGUAGCGGUGAAAUGCUUAGAGAUGACAUAGAACACCUAUUGCGAGGCAGCUUACUACGCAGAUAUGACGCUCAUGCACGAAGCGUGGAUCAACAG
rnacentral:rRNA from 1 species